UAUAAGCCAUCACACCUUAUGAAUGUGUAUUACUUGAUACAAAUGAAUGAAGCCCUGCAGCAAAUGAGAGGCAGGAUGAUUAAUUUGAAUCAAACAACUGUAGCAGUUGAGGGUUGUCAAAUAGCUUUUUUUUUUUUUUUUUUUUUGGUAAUUCGUCAAAUAGCAUUUGGUUUUGUUUUCACUGGUUCUUUUAUGAAGAUAUCAAAGUUGGAUUUUUGACUUUCAUUUUUGAAUUUUUAUAUAUGAUACUUAUUAAUGUAUAUGAUACUUGAUGAGAUAUCGUAGAUGUUUCUGCCUUUUUUUUUUCGAGUAGAAGUGGUACUCGCAAAUACUGUGUCCUUUCAUUGUGUUUUUUUUUUUAUCUUUUUCAAUUGUUUAUUUAUCUAUGCUGUGUUGCAGUUUGUCGAAGGAGUUCAUGGACACUCAACGCUUGGUAAGACACGCAUAUAUGUCUCACAGAGUUGGGCUGAGGGCACAGCACUUGGGUCUUCUAAAAGCAGUUUGUGUUCUGUUGGGGUGGAGUACUGUUGUCCCCCCUGACACAGUCACAUGGGCUCCCCAGGUCUUGCCCAAGGCUGAAGCUUUGGCUCAGAAGGAAGAUUUGAUUCUCUGGCCUCCUGUGAUUGUUGUUCACAAUAUUUCUAUGUCAGACAACAAUCCUCAAAGUUGGAAGGUUGUUUCCAUGGAGGCGCUCGAGGCUUUUCUAAGAAGUGAGCGACUUUGUUGUUUUUAUUAUUUAGUUGUACAAUACUUAUGCUUGAGCAUAGUUUUAUUAAAAAUAUUGAGUAAACUAGAAAAUAAGAAUAUAGUGCAUCAUGUAUUAUUCAGGGUGAGCGGAGGAUAUGAUGGCAAGAUGCCUUUUGAAGUUAGGAUAACAAUUAUUUGUUUUUAAUCUUUUGGGUUCUACAUGGCAUGGCAGGUAAUGGUUUAAUCAAGGGAAGAAUCAAGAUUUGCCUAGGGAAGCCUGCUGACCAAAGUGUUUUGGUGGUGAAGUUCUUGGGAACUUUUACUGGGCUUGGGGACGCAGAGAGGAUUCAGAAGCAUUUUGCAGAGCAUCAGCGUGGCAGAGUGGAUUUUGAGCGAGCGACGUCCUCAAAUGGAAAAAUUGUGGAAGCAGCAAUGCAGGGAGACAACGCAGAGGAGCGAUUUCUAUAUGGGUACAUGGGCAUUGUAGAGGACUUGGAUAAGGUGGAUUUCCAUACCAGGAGCUGGACUGUGAUAAAGAGCAAGAAGGAGAUUCAGGACCUGGCCAAUGCUCCCGUCAAACCUGAUGAGAGGUAACUCAUAGUUGUGCACAAAUACUAAUUUAAGGAUUACGCUUUGGUUUCCCUCUCGUAGAACAUACCCGGAAGUGAGCCGAAAAGAAAAUAUCAUGUAAAAAACUCGAAGUCACCGCUAGCUUUUGUUAUUUGUGCAAUACUCUGAACUCAUGGAAUCCGGAAUGUUUUGCUUGUAAUUUAUAGUGGCUUCCAUUACAUAAACUAAUGUACCGUUUAUGCUUCAAUCUGUAGCCAUGUUUAUAAGGCCGAGUGGCGUAAAUUCCACUUGAGGCCAAAUUUCCUGUGUUGGAUUUGGAUUAGUUUCAUGAAUAAAAUGCCAUUUGGUUUCGACAAACAGAAUGAAAGAAAUUAUGAUUCAAGUGAGAAGGAAAUGCGAAUAAAAGAUCGCACACGAUGAAGACACUGGUGACCCGAGAAGCUUGACAUUUUGUUAAAUUUAAAUUCUGGGUGUUUUAUGUUUUGGAAGUAGAUUAACGUAUUUAAUUUUGGGACGAGGGAAUUGUAGUAAUGGUCCCACAACUUUAACUCAAUUGGAGUAGUAGUCUCUCAAUUAAAAAUCCAUGACUAUUGAUCUUCUCAAAAUGUGCAGCUAUAGAUUUUUUCAUCAACUCUGUUAGAGAUUCCGUUAAAAUGAGUCUUGUGUCAUGCACAUGAGGCUGAAUUGAGGAGUGAAUAUGAAAAACCAAAUGAGAAAAAUUGUAGCAAUGGUCUUUCAAUUUUAACCCAACUAAAGAAAUUCUCUCUCAACUUUAACCCAAUUGGAGCAAUUGUCCCUCAACUUUAACUCAAUUGUAGCAAUGGUCUUUCCAACACGACUCAUUUUGACGGAAUUUUGACAGAGUUAACAAAAAUGAUCAUAGCUGCACAUUUUGAUGAGUUAAGAGACUAAUGUUAAUGGAUAUUUAGUUUAGGGAUUAUUGCUCCAUUUGAGUUAACGUUGAAGGACCAUUAUUACAAUUUUCUCCCUUUGGGACAGAUGGGGAUCUUCACAGACACUCACAUCUUUGUUUUUAGGGUUUUGGGGUAAGAGUUCAGUGUUAGGGUUCACAAAAACUGCGAUUGUGUCAAAAUCCACAAAAGGCACCCAAUUACAGUAAAGUCUCUCUCUAGUGAUAUUCUAUAAAGGAAUAAACUUCUUACCGUUACAAAAAUUUUGGUCCCAACUUGAGCUAGUUAUGUAAACUUCACAUAGUAAUAACUAGCAAAAAUGCCCGCGCGUUGCUGCGGGACUUGAAUGCACCAGCCUUAACCACAUGAAUAAGACAUUUAAUCUGCAAAAAAAUUCAUCAUAAUCAGGAACAAACAAAAGGGAUAGAUGAGUGAAAGAUGUUGGUAAGAUGAGAGUUGAAUCAAAGGAAUCAGUAGUGUAAAACUGACAAAAUGCUUACAAAUUCAACUCCAAUUAUGCUGAUGUAGCUAUCCAAGUAUGAAUUAUCCUAUUCAACAAUUCUGAAGCUCAGACAAAAAUUGCAUGAGAAAUAUUGAGAUUAUAUGCAAUUGUAUGUCAAAUAAUCUGAAAAAUACCAUAUAUCCAAUUUAAGUGCAUACACCUAUAAACUAAUCUUCAUAUAUACUUUAAAAUAAUACAGAUCAAUGUAAUCUAAAACAUUGGAAACAUUAUCAUACAAUUAAAGAAUCACGAUGCAGAAAAUGUUCUUUCCAUUAUUUUCAAAUAACUUUUCACCCCACAACACUGAGACAGAGAGCAUACCCAUACCAAUGGAGGAAGGGAAACACAAAAUACACUACUUGAUCGCUUGUGGCUUAUAGCUAUUAUUGCUCAACCUGUCUUUAUCUUCGUGUAUCUCUCUGAUUGAAAUAUUAUUCAUAUAAAAUUUCAUUACAGUAUAAAGUAUAUUUAUGUAUAACAUAAUAACCUUCUAAAAGCAAUAUCUUAUAAAAACAUUCCAUCAAUCUAAGAAAACUGAUGACAAUCGUAAGCUAAACAAUGAAAUACCAAAUAAAACUAUAAGCAGCAGUAAUCUUCAAAUCCGAACCUCAAAUUCAAACUUUUCUUGUAAUUCAAAAAUUAAAAAAAGGAGGAAAUGAAAUAUUAAAAAAAAAUAAAAAUCAUAAACCUGCUUUGGAGUUUGCGGGAGGUUUGGAGUAGUGAUCUGGAACGACAUCGGUGCAGUUUUCGUAGAAGCAGAAUCGCUGGCUUCCACGAUCAUCAAGCAGAAUCGUACCAUUUUAAUCUAGAAGUAUAAAAUAAAAAACCCUACACUCAUCAAAGUAAACUAACGGCAUGGGAAGAAAUAGUAAGAGAAUUCUACCAAAAACCAACUAAAUACCAGCUCAAGAAUGAAUCGAAAGCAUAUAUCUUAUUUCAUAGGUUUAUGACAAUUUAGGGUCAAUAAUCUUUGCACCUAAUUAGCUCCAUAUGGGCUCCAGAUACAAAUCUAAUCCAUAUAUGUGAUAUUAUACCUGGUCUAAAGAACACAGAGAGCCCAAAAUCUAUUGUCUUAAGUGGUGCAUCCUCUUUCUGGUUGACAAAUAGAAAAUUCUCUGGCUUUAAGUCCCAAUGCAUGACACCCAAAGAAUGGCAUGCUUCGAGGACACCAGUGAUAACCCAUGCAAGCUUUAGCUGCCUUUCUCUAUGUAAUGCCCAGACCACUUGAAAGGAGUCAUUUGUAAGUCCCAUGCCUACGCUUUGUAAUGAUGCAAUUUUUUUAAUUUUUUAUUUGAAUUUUGUUAAAUUAAGUAAUUUCGGGGAGGCCUACGCUUUCAAACUAUAAUCGACAACCGACAUAAAUAAUUUGCACAGAAAGAUGAACUAAAAAGGCGGCAAGAAUGAAAUCACACCCUUAAAUGCACCAAUGCAAAUAAACACAUUUUACCAGAAUAAAUCCAACAAAAUCACAAAUCAACAAAGGCAUCUCUUAAGAAUUUAAAUAACCAAGAUUUGGAUGAACUGAUUGUGAGUAUUUGUGCAUAGAUGUGUAACUAUUUACAUAAAACAUGUGAAGGACAAUCAGUUUAGAAUUUCAAAAUAUAAAAUAUUACAAUUUCCAUAAAAGAUCAAGUAUUGGGAAACAAAAUUGGCAUCUCACCUUCCACAAUAGGUCGACAAAUGCUUUGAUUACGCUUUAGCUUCUUGUCUACCUGAAAACACAAAUUCACUAUUUAGAAUAUCAUAAUUUCAUGAAAUGGUUCACCCUUGAAUCAAGAAGAACUCCUUUGUUUUAUGUAUGGUACCGAUAAUCAACUCAUAAUAUUGGAUCUCAAUUUAUUUCAAACUUUUAUGCAUUUUUGACUAUUCUAGGAUCCAUUUAGGCAAUCUCUUAGACCAUUAGUUUGUUCCCUUUGACUAAAAUAAAAAACAGCACAUCCGCUUGCUGCUUAGUGACUUGAUAAGUCAGUCACAAAGAUAACAUGUAGAAUGCAAAUAUGGAUCACGAAAAACAACAGCUAUAGAAUUGAUUAUAUAGAAGAAGAAUACAAACUUAUUGUGAGGUUAUCCCAGCUAUCCACUAUGACCCAGUAUAUAUAGCAAGUAAAAACUACAAAAGCAAAGAUCUCAUUCAAUGACAGUUUGUUUCUUAUCCAGAAAAAUAAAAUGAACAGGUUAAUGACACUCUCAAAGUUGGUUUAUGUUCAAAUUAGUGAAUUACCAUAAUCUUUGCUGGUUGGUUUUCAAUCUGUAUCUUAAUUAGUAAACAACCAAUCCAAUGCCAACUUCUUUUUAAGAAUUAAAAUGACACUAUUUUUGUCCCUCAUGGAGUUUGAUAAAUUUGCUCGAUCGUUUAUACGUGUUUCUCCUGGGAGUUCUUAAAUCAUCGUUCUACUACUCAACAGACAUCAAUCUGAAACAUAUGGCUUGUUCAGGUACGCUCUCUUGUUUGAAAUUUGUCUCUCUUUUUAUGCUGUUUGGUAUGGUUAGUUAGUUUUCCCAUAUCCUUAGAUCUCUCAGUCCAAGUUCAAUUCAAUAUUGAUUAUUUGCUACAAUAUCUUCUCCUAUUGUUGCGAGAGAAUUCAUAUCAAGAUUAACUUCAUUAUUUAAUUCGAAUGGAAUCCAAAAGCGGUAUAAAUAUGAAGGAUAAAAAAGUAAUAACAAAAGUCACAUUUCAGCAGCAAUUAAUAGCAGAAAUCAGAAAUAAUUUCAGUAAAAUAGAAAGCAAAGAUUAGAACUCAACCCACUUCUACAUUAGUAAGAAUAAGAAUGAUUAAGCUUAAUCUAGAGAGAGAAACACAAAGAUCAAAACAUCAGGCAUUUAUUUUUGAAAUACAGAGAUCAAAAUUUUAGGCAUUUAUUUCUGAAACAAAAUAAAUGAACAAAACCAUCAACAUCAAGGAUGAUUACAAUUGAUGGGUGCAAUAUGGAAUAUAAGUUUCUGGAGAGAGAAACAACCAAACUUUACACUGGAUCAUAUUUUUUAGAGAAAGAGAGAGUUGGAAGUACUUUUCAACAGCAGAGGUCAAUCUUGGGCAUAAAAAGAAAACAUAGAAGCUUCACAGCACAAUAAUUAACCACAAUCCUCUGUUUUUCUAAGUGCAAAUAGAAAAACAGAAACAAAGUAUUGAACACAAAAUCUUCACAUUAGCCCAAGAAUUAUAUUGUUUCUAGAGCUUUCCAAAUUGCCAGCACGGAACGACAAACAUAAAAGCACUAAAAUAUAUAAUUGGAAAUAUAAAAAUAACAAUUCCAAGAAACUAAAUGGGAAGUUGGGCAGAUCUGCAAAGUAACACAAACUCAUUACUCAAAAUUAAGAGCAUUGUGGCUCACCCUGAAAGCACCUCUUUUCCGAUAAGGGAGAGAAAGGCCGUUGUUCUGGCUACUGAGUGCUGCUGGCUCCAAAGCAGUUUAUGUUCCAGAACUUUAUAAGAGCAAGUCACCCAUUCAAAACCACCAUAAAUCGCGAGUUUACAUCAUUUUGCUACCAAAAAAAAAAAGCAAACAAAAAAAAGGAAAAAAAUAGAAAGUAUAAGAUUCAAACAUGUUUACAAUUACAAACACUUUACAAUGCGUGUAAAAAUUAAACGUUCUCAAGCACCCAUGUCUCCAAUUCGAGGCUAAAACCCAAUUCCACAAAAGAAAUCAACAAUUUUGAUCAAAACAGAAAAGCCAACAGACUCAAAAGGCCAGAAUACAAUUAUACAUAUCCUUAGCUGCUAUGGAAAUCAACAGUUCCAUAUAAGUAUACAAAAGAUUUUCUUACACCUAAUUUCGCAGCUUAGAGAGCAAUAGUUAUACUAAAACAACAAUUAAUUGAAACGAUUGAAGGGGAAAAAAGCAAAAGUGGAAAAAAAGAACUCAACAAAGAUUGUGUUCCCAAUCUAAAUACAUUAUAUACUCCAGCACAAAAUAAAACCCAGGUGUCCUUUAGCACCGAAGCUCUGUUCAUGUGGAUUUUGGGAAAAAAAAACCGUUGAAAACUUAACAAUCCAGAUUAGGGGAAACAAUUACGGAAAAUUAACAACAACUAAACAAAUUAAAGAACUGAAAACCCACAAAAAAAACCCAAAAAAAAAAAAACCAACUGACCUUAAAACAAAGAACAUACUGAACAGAAAGGGAAUCCCCAAAAUUAGAGAAAAUGAAACAAAUAAGGGAAUAAAGAGAGAGAUGAAUCCGCCAAAACCGGACCUAAUGUACUAAAAAAUUUGAAAAUCCAAUCUAACAUUAAAGAAUCCAAUUUAAAAAAUGAACUUAUCUUAGGAAAUGAUCACAAAAUCCGGCACACAUCAUCCUCAGUAGCCUCUGCUCAUGACCCCUACCCCUCUCCCUGAAAUCCUGAAUACCCCAUAUGGUUCUCUCUCUCCCUCUCUCUCUCUCUCUCUCUCCCUCUCCCCAAAAUGGGAAGUGGAAAGUUUGGUCAUGCAAGACUUAAGACAUUAAUUAUUUAAAGGACCUAAUGGAUGGCAGAAAAUGGUUGGGGGAGACGGGUUAGGAUAGUAGGAAAUGGACCAGUUUUUUUAAUUCCUUGAGUCCAUAAUUUUGUAAGUGGUUUGCCAACUCCUUAAUUUAAUAAAAUUAGUUUAGGACUUUGUGAGCAUGGGCGCUGCAUGUUUACAACAAAACAAUUUUAAAGUUGAAAAACCUAACCCACUUAUGUAAUGUAUUAAACCUUAAAGACAGCUCAACCUCUAAUAAUAAUCUUAUUAAAUUAAACCAUAACCAAAAUAAAUAAUGCAGACACAAAAGCACAACUAUUGUCACACGAAGGAAUUCACGAUUAAUACAAUGUAUAUCUGUCGAUAAAAAGAUCUGUAGUAGCAAGCAAUUCAUCACACUAUAUAAUCUGUCAUAUCUACCGUGCACUGUACUGCUUGGUCUGAAGUAGAGAAAAGAAACUAAGUAUAUCGUAUAAAACCUUAGGGCAAACAAAUAACUAUAGAAGACAACGCAUCUAAUUGCAAAUCACAUGUACAUCAAGGUUAUGAUCAUCCAUGUCUAGGUUUAAGACAAUUUUAAGUAAAAUUGCCACUAUAUAUACACGGAGGGUGUCAAAGGAAUUAUAUACUUUAAUUAGUAAAAUCAACGGCAUAUAAAAUCCAAAAAGGGAAUUCAAAUUGGAACAGACGGAAAAUAGAUAAAAGAUUUACCAGAAGCAAAACAAUCACACAGUAUUAUCUCCACAAUGAAGAAAUUGUAUCGCCAAAAUGGAGAUACAUAAGUCUCAGACGGUUUAUAGAUGAAGGGAGAUAGCAAAAAUAAAAAGCGUAAUCAGACAGAUGAACAAUGAAAAUUAAACAUAC
rnacentral:lncRNA from 1 species